rnacentral:lncRNA from 1 species
UUGCUUAUAACACCUUUUAUUAAUUAACUACACUGUUAUUGGACUUAAUAUGAUGAAAACUGCCUAUGCAAUAUAAUGUGUAAACUGGGCCAAUACAGAAUAACUCGGCCAAUAUAGAUUUUUUUCUGUAUUGGCCGAGUUAUUCUAUAUUGGCCGAGUUGACACAAGUGCAGGAUUUCGGAACGUCUCUAGAUUUUACAUCGAAAGUCACGAUAAACACAAACUGAAAGUAAACAGUUGUUUUGAAGACGCAGUUGUCAUUUAGUUAUCUUAAACAUGCUGAAAAUGUCAGUAUGGCAUACAUUUCAGGCGAAAGACGGUCACAUUCAUUUAAAAGGUAUUUUGAAAGCAGACGAUAGAACUAUUUCAGGUUUGGGGAACGAGUAGAUUAUCACAAAGUUCAUUUCUUGACGACCUCAUAAUUUCACGAUUGUACACAUCGAUUUUAAAUUAGUUUCUGCAUAACACAUGCAAUGGCAGUACCUUUCCAAUUACUAUUUAUGUGUUGCGUCUAAAUUUAAGUUGUAACACUUUAUAGUGACUGAAAAGGGUAGAAAAAAUCAUCAGAUGAGAAAAUGCUGAAGACACCUGGAAACAGCACCAGAGAUC